rnacentral:pre_miRNA from 1 species
UCCCGGCCCAGCCUGAAAUUUGCUGAACCUAGUCCAUUGUGCAAGCAAAGGUGAGCAAAUAUUCAGGUGUGUCGAAGA